rnacentral:rRNA from 1 species
UGGGGAAUCUUCCGCAAUGGGCGAAAGCCUGACGGAGCAAGACCGCGUGGGGGAGGAAGGUUUUUGGAUCGUAAACCCCUUUUGUCAAGGAAGAAGCUCUGACGGUACUUGACGAAUAAGCCUCGGCUAACUCCGUGCCAGCAGCCGCGGUAAUACGGAGGAGGCAAGCGUUAUCCGGAAUGAUUGGGCGUAAAGCGUCUGUAGGUGGCCAGCUAAGUCUGCUGUUAAAGAUCACAGCUCAACUGUGGGAAGGCAGUGGAAACUGGCAAGCUAGAGGUUGGUAGGGGUAAAGGGAAUUCCCGGUGUAGCGGUGAAAUGCGUAGAUAUCGGGAAGAACACCGGUGGCGAAAGCGCUUUACUGGGCCAGACCUGACACUGAAGGACGAAAGCUAGGGGAGCGAAAGGGAUUAGAUACCCCUGUAGUC